rnacentral:rRNA from 1 species
UACAGAGGUCUCAAGCGUUGUUCGGAUUCAUUGGGCGUAAAGGGUGCGUAGGCGGCGCGGUAAGUCGGAUGUGAAAUCUCGGAGCUUAACUCCGAAACUGCAUUCGAUACUGCCGUGCUUGAGGACUGGAGAGGAGACUGGAAUUUACGGUGUAGCGGUGAAAUGCGUAGAUAUCGUAAGGAAGACCAGUGGCGAAGGCGGGUCUCUGGGACGGUACUGACGCUGAGACGCGAAAGCGUGGGGAGCGAACAGG